rnacentral:lncRNA from 1 species
AUGGCCGUGUUGAAGCAGUAUAUAGUAGUGGCAGUGCACCUUCACUUGAUAAAGCGAUGAGGGCUGUAUCAGCUAACCCCUAUUGUUAUGAACAUAGCGAUCUGUGGUGGUAUGCAAAAGGGUUAUUGAAAGCUAACCCUCAGAAGAGAGCAACGCUACUGAAGGUGGGGACACGUGAGGUUAGUUGGCUACGAAGUCACAUGUCCGAGGAUUAAGUUGGCCUUGGAUUGGACCGGAUAGGAUGCGCUUAAAAUUUGAUACUCAUUAUAUCUAAAUAGGCCGUCAGAUGAAUCUGAGAUUCCCAACCUCGUGCUAGAUACUUUUGAAAAACUCUACAGGUAGUUAUUUUCUAAAUAACUUCACAGUUGCAUGCUUCUGCUGCAUAAUUGCGAGUGCAGUCCGAUACUGGUGGCUGCCGGCUGAGGUUUUUGUUUUUUUUUUUUAAUGGUUCAAGUGAAGUUUCCUCUGAAUGCGAUCUGCCUUUGUUGAUUUUUUUUUUUUUUUUUUUUUUUUCAUCACUGGAAGGCACGUCAUCCACCCUAUGGGCUCAUCUGGGAAAGGGAAGGGAAAAAGGAAGAGCACUUAUCAGCAACUUGUCGUGCAAGCUAAUACUGAUGCAAACGAAAAUGACAAAGUAGUUGCUUUAGGAGGGGGGAGAGUGGGUGAUGCAUCGACAUCAUCAGAACAGAGUGAUGGCCCUGUUGAAGCAGUAUAUAGUAGUGGCAGUGCACCUUCCCUUGAUGAAGCGAUGAGGGCUGUAUCAGCUAACCCCUAUUGUUAUGAACAUGGCGAUCUGUGGUGGUAUGCAAAAGGGGUAUUAAAAGCUAACCCUGGGAAGAGAGCAACGCUACUGAAGGUGGGGACACGUAAGGUUAGUUGGCUACGAAGUCAAAUGUCUGAGGAUUAAGUUGGCCUUGGAUUGGACCGGAU